UACGUAGGGCGCAAGCGUUGUCCGGAAUUAUUGGGCGUAAAGAGCUCGUAGGCGGCCUGUUGCGUCCGCUGUGAAAUCCCGGGGCUCAACCCCGGGCCUGCAGUGGAUACGGGCUGGCUAGAGGCAGGCAGGGGAGAACGGAAUUCCUGGUGUAGCGGUGAAAUGCGCAGAUAUCAGGAGGAACACCGGUGGCGAAGGCGGUUCUCUGGGCCUGUACUGACGCUGAGGAGCGAAGGCGUGGGGAGCGAACAGG
rnacentral:rRNA from 1 species